UUAACUCAAAUUUGUAUGAAUUUGGAACAUUUGCCUACGUUUGCCGCUAGGGGCGCUGUUCCAACUGCAUACAAUUCUGAGUUA
rfam:Bombyx mori DNA, contig: Bm_scaf110_contig37234, strain: p50T/Dazao, build 2, whole genome shotgun sequence.